UGGUGAAACUGCAAAUGGCUCAUUACAACGGUUAUGACGUACCCGGGAGUUCCGAUGGAUAUUUCCAGUAACACUAGAACUAAUACAUGUCCCUGCGUUUAUUAGUUUCACACAGUCCGUCGCUGAGUCAUGGUAAACAGUUGAUCGACUCGACGUCCCGGAACAGUUUCCGCCCCAUCAGCUUCGAUGGUUGGGUAUUGGCCUACCAUUGCAACAACGGGUAACGAGGAAUUAGGGUUUGAUUUCGGAGAGGGAGCCUGAGAAACGGCUACCACAUCUACGGAUGGCAGCAGGCGCGCAAAUUACCCAAUGCAGACACUGUGAGGUAGUGACGAGAAAUAAUAAAGCGGGACUUCUGUUUCGCUAUUAUAAUGAGUAACAACCAAAGGUCGUUACGAUUAGCAACUGAUGGGAAAGUCUGGUGCCAGCAGCCGCGGUAAUACCAGCGUCAGUAGCAUAUAUUAAAAUUGUUGCAGUUAAAACGUCCGUAGUCUGUACGUCGUCCCAAACUCACUGCAGUCUUGCGUCUUCUUCACUGAAUGCGCAAGUAUCUGCAGUCACUCCCUUGAUCAAAUUAGGUUGUUCAAGGUAGACAGAGUCUUCAUAUUUUCACAUGGAAUUGGGUGAGGGAACUUAAGAGUUUAAGUUUCUCGUCUUAGGAUCAUCCGGGGUCAUUCGUACUCGUCCGCGAGAGGUGGAAUUCUUGGACCGGACGAAGACGACCAGCAGCGAAAGCAUCUGUCAGGGAUGUUUUCUGCGACAAAGGACGAAGGUCAGGGUAUCGAAGACGAUUAGAUACCGUCGUAGUCCUGACUGUAAACUAUGCCAACUUGGGUCUUGCUGGGCUAUGCUUUGUGAGACCCACACNGAAAUGAAAGUGUAUGGGUUCUGGGGGUAGUAUGGACACAAGUCUGAAACUUGAAGGAAUUGACGGAAGAGCACCAUAAGACGUGGAGCUUGCGGCUUAAUUUGACUCAACGCGGGAAAACUUACCAGGUCAAGACAUGGGCGUGAUUGACAGGCUAAUGACUUUUCUCGAUUCCAUGGAUGGUGGUGCAUGGUCGCACUUAGUUGGUGCAGUGAUUUGUCAGGUUUAUUCCGGUAACGAACGAGACCUCGGCCUUGUAAAUAGCUUUGCUGCUUACAGGGACAUUGGCGGCUACGCCAAGGAAGUUCGAGGCAAUUGCAGAUCUGGAAUGCCCUUAGAUGUCCUGGGUCGCACGCGUGCUACAAUGACGCCACGAGCGAGGUUGCGUGACGAAAGUUACGCAUAAUCAGCAGUCGGCGUCUUAAGGGACAGUCUCUUGACACUGUGGGACUCUAACUAGGAAUGUCUCGUAAGCACAAGUCAACAUCUUGUGUUGAUUACGUCCCUGCUCUUUGUACACACCGCCCGUCGCUCCUACCGAUCGAGUGUUUAGAUGAAUUUGAUGGACGUGAGGAAGUCAAAUAAAUCUGAGCACUUAGAGGAAGGAGAAGUCGUAACAAGGUUUCCGUAGGUG
rnacentral:rRNA from 1 species